rnacentral:rRNA from 1 species
AUUGAACGCUGGCGGCAUGCCUUACACAUGCAAGUCGAACGGUAACGGGCCUUCGGGUGCCGACGAGUGGCGAACGGGUGAGUAAUGCAUCGGAACGUACCUUCAGUGGGGGAUAACGUAGCGAAAGUUACGCUAAUACCGCAUAUUCUGUGAGCAGGAAAGCAGGGGAUCGCAAGACCUUGCGCUGAUUGAGCGGCCGAUGUCAGAUUAGCUAGUUGGUGAGGUAAAGGCUCACCAAGGCGACGAUCUGUAGCGGGUCUGAGAGGAUGAUCCGCCACACUGGAACUGAGACACGGUCCAGACUCCUACGGGAGGCAGCAGUGGGGAAUUUUGGACAAUGGGGGCAACCCUGAUCCAGCCAUGCCGCGUGAGUGAAGAAGGCCUUCGGGGUUGUAAAGCUCUUUCGGCCGGGAAGAAAUCGCAUGGGUUAAUACCCUGUGCGGAUGACGGUACCGGCAUAAGAAGCACCGGCUAACUACGUG